GUGAAUCAUCAAAUUUUUGAACGCAAAUUGCACUCUCUGGCAUUCCGGAGAGUAUGCCUGUUUGAGGGUCAGUUUUAUCAAAAUCGGUGCGAUGCCUUUUGGGUGAUGCUCCGGAGUUUGGGUCAUCUUUACUCUUUUUUAAGUGACCUAAAAUCAACAUUCUUUUUUGCUCACUUUUGAGACGUACAUAAUUUUUUUUUAUUCGUCUACCCUGGUGGCACUUAUUUUAUUAGAUCG
rnacentral:misc_RNA from 1 species